GACGAACGCUGGCGGCGUGCCUAACACAUGCAAGUCGAACGGAACUGUUUUGAAAGAUUUCUUCGGAAUGAAUUUGAUUUAGUUUAAUGGCGGACGGGUGAAUAACGCGUGAGUAACCUGCCUUCAACAGGGGGAUAACGUUCUGAAAAGAAUGCUAAUACCGCAUGACGUAUCGUAACCACAUGGUUUUGAUAUCAGAGAUUUUAUCGCUUGACCAUGGACUCUCGUCCAAUUAGUUAGUUGGUGAGGUAACGGCUCACCAAUACCGCGAUCGGCAGCCGGACUGACAGGUUGAACGGCCACAUUGGGACUGACACACUGCCCAGACUCCUACGGGAGGCAACACUGGGGGAUAUUGCGCAAUGGGGACAACCCUGACCCACCAGCGCCACGAGAAGGAUGAAGGUUUUCGGAUUGUAAACUUCUUUUAAUAAGGACCAAAAUUGACUGUACUUAAUGAAUAAGCUCCGGCUAACUACGUGCCAGCAACCGCGGUAAUACGUACGGAGCAAGUGUUGACCGGAUUUACUGGGUGUAAAGGGAGCGUACGUGGCUUUGCAAGUCACAUGUGAAAUCUAUGGAUUCAACCCAUAAACUGUCUUUGAAACUGUAUAGUCUGUGAGUGAGAGUAGAGGUGAGCGGAAUUCACCGUGUAGCGGUGAAAUGCGUAGAGAUGGAUAGGAACACCAGUGGCGAAAGCGGCCUGCUGGACUUUUAAACUUGACGCUGAGGCACCAACGCUGAGGUACAAACAGGAUUAGAUACCCCUGGAAUUCCACGCUGUAAACGAAGUGUUAUAGGUGUGGGGGGUCUGACUCUUUACGUGCCGGCAGUUAACACAAUAAGUAAUCCACUUGGGGAGUACGGCCGCAAGGUUGAAACUCAAAGGAAUUGACGGGGACCCGCACAAGCAGUGGAGUAUGUGGUUUAAUUCGAAGCAACGCGAAGAACUUUUGCAGGUCUUGACAUCCAACUAAGGUAGUAGAGAUACAUUAGGUGCCCUUCGGGGAAAGUUGAGACAGGUGGUGCAUGGUUGUCGUCUGCUGGUGUGGUGAGAUGUUGGGUUAAGUGACGCAACGAGUGCAACCCUGGCUAUUAGUUGCUACGCAAGAGCACUAUAAUAGGACUGCCGUUGACUAAACGGAGGAAGGUGGGGACGUCGUCAAAUCAUCAUGCCCCUUAUGUCGUGGGCUACACACGUACUACAAUGGAUGUUAACAGAGGGAAGCAAGACAGGGAUGUGGAGCAAACCCCUAAAAACAUUAUCAGUUCAGAUUGCAGGCUGCUACCCGCCUGCAUGAAGAUGGAAUUGGUAGUAAUGGCGGAUCAGCAUGCCGCGGAGAAUUUGUUGCCGGUCGUUGUCCACACCGCCCGUCACACCAUGGGAGCCGGUAAUACCCGAAGUCAGUAGUCCAACAAAGGGAGGCCGCUGCCGAAGGUAGGAUUGGC
rnacentral:rRNA from 1 species